GAAAACCCUACAAGGAUAUUCAACUGCAGAGAAGUAAAGACUGCAAGAUUGAACACUCACUUUAGAAGCACCCCAGAAGCAGACUCACUUCAUGAAGCCUUGAUCUGCACUACCAUGAAGAUCUGGAACUUUAAAUAAAUAAAAGGCAGAAGUCCAUACUAGGAGAAAAGCUCUGUUCUCUGCAGCAUGAUAACCCAUCGGGAAACAGAAAAGGUCCUGCCUGAUCUAAAGCUGUGGAAAUCCUUCAACUCAAAAGACAAGGCUCACUGGCAGUUUCAGAGAACCAAGACAAUAAACAUAAAACUGAUAUCCAAGAGGAUAAACAUAAAACUGAUCUUCUGUCCAUACAGUGACACCUUAGAGACUCCAGGAAAGAUCCAGUCAAAUUCACAUACAUUCAGUGAUAGACUCUCUACCCUACUGGAAUCAAUGGAAUUAUGUAUAAAUUGUACAGCGUCGUGUCCGUGA
rnacentral:lncRNA from 1 species